rnacentral:rRNA from 1 species
AUGUGUCCUGCCGGGCGGGCGGCGUGCCGUGUCCGCGCUCCCGAAACUGCCCCUCCCCCUCUCUCACACCUCGAAAGCAAAAGGGCGGAGCGGGGGCCCCCGGGGACGAGCAAAUUAUUUUUGUUGCGAGGGCGCGUCUCCUUCCUCCUCUCCGUGCGAGGCAGCGGCGACGGCGAGCGGACCGGAACAGCACAUCGCCGGCUCUACAUCAAUGGCGUCCACCUCCCUCCUCGGCUGCGCAGUUCUCGCUCUUCUCUGACGAGCGCGGGAGCUUCCUCUGACCCGAGCAACGACACCGUGCGGGAGCUUCCUCUGUCCAGUGACCAGUUCCUGGCUUCGCCGGCGAUGGAGGCCUACUCGAGGGACCUGCUGCGCGGCGUCGGCGGGGGAGGCGAGGCCGGUCGCGGCGAGGAGAAGCCGGGGCGCCUGGAUUCGCAGACCGAGGAGGUCGAGCUUAGCCUCGGCCUGUCGCUCGGGGGCCGAUUCGGGCAGGAGAGGAGGAGGGGCGAGGGGCUCGCCAGGUCCUCCUCCGUCGCCUGCAUCCAGCAGGUGGCGCUGGCGCCGCCCGCGCUCCCCAGGACACACUCCCUGCCGCCUAUGGCGGAGGCGGAGGCGGGGAACACCACCGCUUCCCCUAGGAGCGGCGCUGAGGUCCAGCCGCAGGGGAGUGGUGCCCCUCUGAACGGCGCCGUGGUGGAGCCCGCAGCUUUGCCACGGGCGAGCUUGAGCCCCCCGUCCACAGGCUCGUCGGACGGCGAAGGGAAGCUGCGGGCGAGCUUGAGCCCCCCGUCCACAGGCUCGUCGGCCGGCGACGGUAUCCUCACGAGGACAAGUUCACUCCCUGCUGGCAUCGAGGAUGGGUGGAGGAAGAGGAAGCUAGCAGAAACUCUGAACAAACUCGAGAUGAAGAGGAGGAUUGAGAGGAUGAACUCUUCCAACGUUUCUGUAGGGGAAGUUGGAGAGAACGCAGAUGAGAUGAGUGAGCAGGCAGGAGGAAAGCAAAAAGCACAGAGAAUGAACCAUAGCAAUGUGAGGCGUCGCUUGAGUGGGCUUCCUCCACCGUAUCAGCCUCCAGCUGCAUCACAAGGUCCGAAAAGGAAUUCCGCUUUGAAAGGAACUCCUGGCGCUCUAGAGCGGAGCCUGUCAUCGGCUGUUCUGCCCUCGUCUGAGGGUGCAAACAGCGGCGCCGUGACAACCCCUUCAUCUUCAGCAUUGGCGGUGAGAGCAGCAGCCCCUGGCAUCUCCACAGGGGAGCAGCGGGAUGGUUCAGAAAGGCCGGCGGCGAGAGCUACUAGGACCAGGAGCGUGGCAGACAUGGUGCGGAAGAUGCCAGUGGUGUACACCAGCGGGCUCCCCAACGGCGAGAGGAUCGACGGCUUCCUGUACCAGUACAGCAGAGCUGAGGAGGUGAGGAUUGUGUGUGUGUGCCAUGGUAGCUUCCUGACUCCGGCGGAGUUUGUGGCGCAUGCCGGAGGCGGCGAAGUCGCCCACCCGAUGAGGCACAUCGUCGUCAACCCCCCGUCGUCUUCGCUCUAG